rnacentral:rRNA from 1 species
AGUGAACGCUGGCGGUAGGCCUAACACAUGCCAGUCGAACGGCAGCACAGUAAGAGCUUGCUCUUACGGGUGGCGAGUGGCGGACGGGUGAGGAAUACAUCGGAAUCUACUUUUUCGUGGGGGAUAACGUAGGGAAACUUACGCUAAUACCGCAUACGACCUACGGGUGAAAGCAGGGGAUCUUCGGACCUUGCGCGAUUGAAUGAGCCGAUGUCGGAUUAGCUAGUUGGCGGUGUAAAGGCCCACCAAGGCGACGAUCCGUAGCUGGUCUGAGAGGAUGAUCAGCCACACUGGAACUGAGACACGGUCCAGACUCCUACGGGAGGCAGCAGUGGGGAAUAUUGGACAAUGGGCGCAAGCCUGAUCCAGCCAUACCGCGUGGGUGAAGAAGGCCUUCGGGUUGUAAAGCCCUUUUGUUGGGAAAGAAAAGCAGCAGGUUAAUACCCCGCUGUUCUGACGGUACCCAAAGAAUAAGCACCGGCUAACUUCGUG